rnacentral:rRNA from 1 species
AAAGUGAGGAAUAAGCCACCGAAAGGUGGUCUAAUACUUCAUAAUAUCCAUCUCGUAUGGAUUAAAGCUUUAUGCGCUUUGGGAGGGGCCUGCGUAACAUUAGCUAGUUGGUGAGGUAAAAGCUCACCAAGGCUUCGAUGUUUAACUGGUUUGAGAGGAUGACCAGUCACACUGGGACUGAGAUACGGCCCAGACUCCUACGGGAGGCAGCAGUAAGGAAUCUUCCACAAUGGGGGCAACCCUGAUGGAGCAAUACCGCGUGCAGGAUGAAGCGUUUCGGCGUGUAAACUGCUUUUAUCACCGAAGAUUAUGACCGUAGGUGAAGAAUAAGGACCGGCUAACUACGUG